GCGCCCGUAGCUCAGUUGGAUAGAGUACCUGGCUACGAACCAGGUGGUCGGAGGUUCGAAUCCUUCCGGGCGCGCCA
rnacentral:tRNA from 22 species